rnacentral:rRNA from 1 species
AGUCUGGUGCCAGCAGCCGCGGUAAUUCCAGCUCCAAUAGCGAAUAUUAAAUUUGUUGCAGUUAAAAAGCUCGUAGUUGGAUCCAAGGUUAGGCAUGCCUGUCUGUUCUUAGUAGCAUGACUGUGUGUGUCUGCCUUUAUUAGUUGAAUGUUCAUUAUGGUGGUCUUCAUCGACUGCUAUGAUGUGCUCAACACGUUUACCUUGAAAAAAUCAGAGCGAUCAAGGCAGGCCUUCGUGCUUGUAUGUUGUUGCAAGGAAUAAUAGAAUAGGACUUCGGUUCUAUUUUGUUGGUUUUGAGAAUUGAAGUAAUGAACAAUAGAGACAGUUGGGGGCAUUUGUAUGGUGGCGUUAGAGGUGAAAUUCUGAGAUCGUCGCCAGACAAACUACUGCGAAAGCAUUUGCCAAGGAUGUCUUCAUUAAUCAAGAACGAAAGUCAGAGGUUCGAAGACGAUCAGAUACCGUCCUAGUUCUGACCAUAAACGAUGCCGACCUACAAUCGGGGGUGGUUUAUUAUAUUGACCCUCCCGGCUGUCCUCAGGAAACUUUAAGUUGGUUCUGGGGGGAAUAUGGUCUCAAGACUGAAACUUAAAGGAAUUGACGGAAGGGCACCACCAGGAGUGGAGCCUGCGGCUUAAUUUGACCCAACACGGGGAAUCUCACCCGGUCCGGACACUGGUAGGAUGGACAGAUUGAUAGCUCUUUCUUGAUUCAGUGGGUGGUGGUGCAUGGCCGUUCUUAGUUGGUGGAGUGAUUUGUCUGGUUAAUUCCGAUAACGAACGAGACUCUGUCCUGCUAAAUAGUCCAGUGGCAUCAAUCACUAUGUGAUUACAGCUGCUGUUACUUCUUAGAGGGAUUCGCGGAUUUAAACCGCAAGAAAUAGAGCAAUAACAGGUCUGUGAUGCCCUUAGAUGUCCGGGGCCGCACGCGCGCUACAUUGACAGUAGAAGCGAGUAUUUCUACCUGGUUCGAAAGAAUUGGGAAAUCUUCGAAUUACUGUCUCCACAGGGAUUGAGGUUUGCAAUUUUGCCUCAUGAACGAGGAAUUCCCAGUAGGCGCAAGUCAUCAGCUUGCGUCGAUUACGUCCCUGCCCUUUGUACACACCGCCCGUCGCUACUACCGAUUGAGUGCAUUAGUGAGGACCUCGGAUUGAGAACAUAGUGGCGCAAGUUACUUUGUUUUCGAAAAGUGAUUCAAAUUUGUGCAUUUAGAGAUAGUAAAAGUCGU